UUGAAAUAAAUCCUGAAUGUUCAUCUGUGAGUCUAUUGCAUCGUGCUAAAUUUUCAAAAAAUAACUCGAAGUAUUUUGGCCUAUAAAAUUCGUGGACUGAACUGGUGUCUGAUUCGCGUCUGUGCAGACAGCACAGACACGUGUUGGAAAAACGGGCAUAACUUUUUGCUCGGGUAUCGGUUUUACGCACCGUUUCUUGAUUCCGAAAUUAGACUCGUAUAUCUUUCUGAAAAUGUAUGGAUUGUGCCGUGACUCUUUCUAGAUUAUAGCAGUUUUUUAGUUAAAGUUUAGGUUUUGGGAAGUUCUGGGAUUCUGGACAGCUUUUGAUUUGUGUUCCUCGUGAAAUUCCUUAAGUUUAGGAUGCUGGGUGAACAUGGGUGAACAUGAGUCUUAAACAUUGAUCAAUUGGUGAUGUUUUGGUGUUGGAAUUAUUGGAAAAGAUUGAGUAUGUGAUUUUUAAUGAGCAUUCGAUCGCGGACUGUUCUGUUGGAACUGUGAUUUCUGUUUUAGAUGUGUAACUUCAUUUGAACGUAUCUUGGUCAUUCGGACUCCAAUUAGGGCAAAUUUUAUAUUGAGAUUGAUGUUCUGAGAGUGUAUUUUCUAAUGGUUAUAGUCUCGAAGUCUAAUCCUAAACCAAUAGAAUGCUAUAGUCAGAAUUCGAUCAAUGGUUCUGCUAGAAAGUGUGUGUUUGUGAGAUUUUUGGCUUUGAGGUACAAAUUGGUGAAUUUACUUCUUUGCUUUUGGAAUUAAACUUUGAUCUCAUAUGUGCGGAAUAUUUGUUAGGUUCGGAGACGAGGACGAGUAUCGCAGCUCCACGUAGGGAGUGACUGCGUUGGUUUUCUUUUUGUUGGAGACCGAGUUUUGCAGGUAUAGGUCGGUGUCCACUACAGGUCAAAUUUUGCGUUAUUGUGACUCGCUUGAGAAGUGCGUGGUUGAGGCCUGAGAGAGUCUUUGUCUCCCAGCCCAUAGAUGAUAUUUGCCUAGUUUAGUUUUUUUUUUAUUUGGAUAAUAGUUGGUUAUGUUUAUUUCUUGACAGACUUCCGCUGUAGUUUGUAAAUGACAAUCAUUUUUGAGAUGUAAAUAAAAUGUGGCUGUUAAACUU